AUUGAACGCUGGCGGCAGGCCUAACACAUGCAAGUCGAACGGCAGCACGGGAGCAAUCCUGGUGGCGAGUGGCGAACGGGUGAGUAAUAUAUCGGAACGUGCCCAGUCGUGGGGGAUAACGUAGCGAAAGCUACGCUAAUACCGCAUACGAUCUAUGGAUGAAAGCGGGGGAUCGCAAGACCUCGCGCGAUUGGAGCGGCCGAUAUCAGAUUAGGUAGUUGGUGAGGUAAAGGCUCACCAAGCCGACGAUCUGUAGCUGGUCUGAGAGGACGACCAGCCACACUGGGACUGAGACACGGCCCAGACUCCUACGGGAGGCAGCAGUGGGGAAUUUUGGACAAUGGGCGCAAGCCUGAUCCAGCAAUGCCGCGUGCAGGAUGAAGGCCUUCGGGUUGUAAACUGCUUUUGUACGGAACGAAACGGUGAGCUCUAAUACAGUUUGCUAAUGACGGUACCGUAAGAAUAAGCACCGGCUAACUACGUG
rnacentral:rRNA from 1 species